rnacentral:rRNA from 1 species
GACGAACGCUGGCGGCGUGCUUAACACAUGCAAGUCGAACGGAAAGGCCCUGCUUUUGUGGGGUGCUCGAGUGGCGAACGGGUGAGUAACACGUGUGUAACCUGCCCUUGACUUUGGGAUAACUUCAGGAAACUGGGGCUAAUACCGGAUAGGAGCUCCUGCUGCAUGGUGGGCGUUGGAAAGUUUCGGCGGUUGGGGCUGGACUCGCGGCUUAUCAGCUUGUUGGUGGGGUAGUGGAUUACCAAGGCUUUGACGGGUAGGCGGCCUGAGAGGGUGAACGGCGACAUGGGGACUGAGAUACGGAGCAGAGGCCUACGGGAGGCAGCAGUGGGGAGUAUGACACAAUGGGCGGAAGCCUGAGGCAGCAACGCCGCGGGCGGGAUGACGGCUUUCGGGUUGUAAACCGCUGUCGCCUGUGACGAAGCGUGAGUGACGGUAAUGGGUAAAGAAGCACCGGCUAACUACGUG